GACGAACGCUGGCGGCGUGCUUAACACAUGCAAGUCGAACGAAGAGCGAUGGAAGCUUGCUUCUAUCAAUCUUAGUGGCGAACGGGUGAGUAACGCGUAAUCAACCUGCCCUUCAGAGGGGGACAACAGUUGGAAACGACUGCUAAUACCGCAUACGAUCUAAUCUCGGCAUCGAGGAUAGAGGAACGGUGGCCUCUACAUGUAAGCUAUCACUGAAGGAGGGUAUUGCGUCUGAUUAGCUAGUUGGAGGGGCAACGGCCCACCAAGGCGAUGAUCAGUAGCCGGUCUGAGAGGAUGAGCGGCCACAUUGGGACUGAGACCCGGCCCAGACGCCUACGGGAGGCAGCAGUGGGGAAUCUUCCGCAAUGGACGAAAGUCUGACGGAGAAACGCCGAGUGAGUGAUGACGGCCUUCGGGUUGUAAAGCUCUGUUAAUCGGGACGAAAGGCCUUCUUGCGAAUAGUGAGAAGGAUUGACGGUACCGGAAUAGAAAGCCACGGCUAACUACGUG
rnacentral:rRNA from 1 species